CUCCACCACUGUUUGUCUAAAAAAAACACCCAACCCUCGACCCAGAUCCCCUUCCACCUCCUCUCUUCUCCCGAUUCACCCCUCGUCUCCCUCCCAUCUCACGCCGCCGCCGCCACCCACCACCCCGGCGACCUCCCCACCGGCGAUCCCCAGCCUCUGCACCCGCGCACGCGCCGCCUCCCCCAGUGCCCCGCCCCCCUCGCCGUCUCCUCCGGCAGACGGGGUCAGCCCCGUGGCGCCAACGUCUCCAAGGCGGAGCUGAAGGAGUGGCUGCCCAAGGUGUACGAGGUGAAGGACCCCAACUGCAUCUUGGUGUUCAAGUUCCGCACCCACUUCAGAGGCGGCAGGUCCUCCAGAUUCGGUCUCAUCUAGGACAACCUCGAGUCCGCCAAGAAGUUCGAGCCCAAGUACCGCUUCAUCAGGAAAUCUUGGAUUCAUAAAUGGGAGAAGCACAUAAGGGAGAAGAAGAUGAUUGCAAGGAUGGAGAGGGAGCAAAUCAUUUGGAGGGAUAGAAUGCCACUGUUUGGUGUUUUUAUGCAUUUUUGUUUGCUUUCAACUGUGUUUGCACUAGCUGGGAAUAAGUGACUAGGCAAUAAGUGUAGAUGUAUGGAUAUGCUCUAAUGCUCCUCGUUUACUAUAAAUCUUUGAUUUUGAAUGAUGUGGAAUGCUGCUGGUUUAUUACAAAUCUGGGCUUGUUUUAGUUGUUAGAAUUGUAUGCAUAAAAUGGAA